rnacentral:rRNA from 1 species
UUUGAUCCUGGCUCAGAAUCAACGCUGGCGGCGUGCCUAACACAUGCAAGUCGAACGCGAAAGCCCCGCAAGGGGUAAGUAGAGUGGCAAACGGGUGAGUAACACGUGGGUGACCUGCCUCAGAGUGGGGGAUAACGACCCGAAAGGGUCGCUAAUACCGCAUAACAUCCUGCAUUUGGAGAUGUGGAGAUCAAAGCCGGGGAUCGCAAGACCUGGCGCUCAGAGAGGGGCCCGCGGCCGAUUAGCUAGUUGGUAGGGUAACGGCCUACCAAGGCAACGAUCGGUAUCCGGCCUGAGAGGGCGGACGGACACACUGGGACUGAGACACGGCCCAAACUCCUACGGGAGGCAGCAGUGGGGAAUUGUUCGCAAUGGGCGCAAGCCUGACGACGCAACGCCGCGUGGAGGAUGAANAUCUUCGGGUCGUAAACUCCUUUCAAUCGGAAAGAAACCCUUUGGUGUUAAUACC